AGUAAAAGUCGUAACAAGGUCUCCGUAGGUGAACCUGCGGAGGGAUCAUUACUGAGUGAGGGCCUUCGGGCUCGACCUCCAACCCUUUGUGAACACAACUUGUUGCUUCGGGGGCGACCCUGCCGUUUCGACGGCGAGCGCCCCCGGAGGCCUUCAAACACUGCAUCUUUGCGUCGGAGUUUAAGUAAAUUAAACAAAACUUUCAACAACGGAUCUCUUGGUUCUGGCAUCGAUGAAGAACGCAGCGAAAUGCGAUAAGUAAUGUGAAUUGCAGAAUUCAGUGAAUCAUCGAAUCUUUGAACGCACAUUGCGCCCCUUGGUAUUCCGAGGGGCAUGCCUGUUCGAGCGUCAUUUCACCACUCAAGCCUCGCUUGGUAUUGGGCGCCGCGGUGUUCCGCGCGCCUCAAAGUCUCCGGCUGAGCUGUCCGUCUCUAAGCGUUGUGAUUUCAUUAAUCGCUUCGGAGCGCGGGCGGUCGCGGCCGUUAAAUCUUUCACAAGGUUGACCUCGGAUCAGGUAGGGAUACCCGCUGAACUUAAGCA
rnacentral:rRNA from 1 species